rnacentral:rRNA from 1 species
GACGAACGCUGGCGGCGUGCUUAACACAUGCAAGUCGAACGCUGAAGCUUGGUGCUUGCACUGGGUGGAUGAGUGGCGAACGGGUGAGUAAUACGUGAGUAACCUGCCCUUGACUCUGGGAUAAGCCUGGGAAACUGGGUCUAAUACUGGAUACGACAUGUCACCGCAUGGUGGUGUGUGGAAAGGGUUUUACUGGUUUUGGAUGGGCUCACGGCCUAUCAGCUUGUUGGUGGGGUAAUGGCUCACCAAGGCGACGACGGGUAGCCGGCCUGAGAGGGUGACCGGCCACACUGGGGCUGAGGCACGGCCCAGACUCCUACGGGAGGCAGCAGUGGGGAAUAUUGCACAAUGGGCGGAAGCCUGAUGCAGCGACGCCGCGUGAGGGAUGACGGCCUUCGGGUUGUAAACCUCUUUCAGCACGGAAGAAGCGAAAGUGACGGUACGUGCAGAAGAAGCGCCGGCUAACUACGUG